rnacentral:rRNA from 1 species
UACAGAGGUCCCAAGCGUUGUUCGGAUUCACUGGGCGUAAAGGGUGCGUAGGUGGUGGGGUAAGUCGGAUGUGAAAUCCCUGGGCUCAACCCAGGAACUGCGUCCGAUACUGGAAGGCUUGAAUCCGGGAGAGGGAUGCGGAAUUCCAGGUGUAGCGGUGAAAUGCGUAGAUAUCUGGAGGAACACCGGUGGCGAAGGCGCAUCCUGGACCGGCAUUGACGCUGAGUGAGCGAAAGCCAGGGGAGCAAACGGG